AACGAACGCUGGCGGCAUGCCUAACACAUGCAAGUCGAACGAGAUCUUCGGGUCUAGUGGCGCACGGGUGCGUAACGCGUGGGAAUCUGCCCUUUGGUUCGGAAUAACAGUUGGAAACGACUGCUAAUACCGGAUGAUGACGAAAGUCCAAAGAUUUAUCACCAGAGGAUGAGCCCGCGUAGGAUUAGCUAGUUGGUGUGGUAAAGGCGCACCAAGGCGACGAUCCUUAGCUGGUCUGAGAGGAUGAUCAGCCACACUGGGACUGAGACACGGCCCAGACUCCUACGGGAGGCAGCGGUGGGGAAUAUUGGACAAUGGGCGAAAGCCUGAUCCAGCAAUGCCGCGUGAGUGAUGAAGGCCUUAGGGUUGUAAAGCUCUUUUACCCGGGAUGAUAAUGACAGUACCGGGAGAAUAAGCUCCGGCUAACUCCGUGCCAGCAGCCGCAGUAAGAC
rnacentral:rRNA from 1 species